AUGCAAAGUCGACGCUGAAGCCCAGCUUGCUGGGGUGGAUGAGUGGCGAACUUGUGAGUAACACGUGAGUAACCUUCCCUUGACUCUGGGAUAAGCCUGGGAAACCGGGUCUAAUACCGGAUACGACCUGCCACCGCAUGGUGGGGGGUGGAAAGAUUUAUCGGUCUUGGAUGGACUCGCGGCCUAUCAGCUGGUUGGUGGGGUAAUGGCCCACCAAGGCGACGACGGGUAGCCGGCCUGAGAGGGUAACCGGCCAAACUGGGACUGAGACACGGCCCAGACUCCUACGGGAGGCAGCAGUGGGGAAUAUUGCACAAUGGGCGCAAGCCUGAUGCAGCGACGCCGCGUGAGGGAUGACGGCCUUCGGGUUGUAAACCUCUUUCAGUAGGGAAGAAGCGCAAGUGACGGUACCUGCAGAAGAAGCGCCGGCUAACUACG
rnacentral:rRNA from 1 species